rnacentral:rRNA from 1 species
UACGGAGGGUGCAAGCGUUAAUCGGAAUAAUUGGGCGUAAAGAGUGCGUAGGUGGUUCGCUAAGUGAGUUGUGAAAGCAUGGGCUUAACCUGUGUCUGUCAACUCAAACGGGCGAACUAGAGUACAGUAGAGGGUUGUGGAAUUUCCGGUGUAGCGGUGAAAUGCGUAGAGAUCGGAAGGAACAUCAGUGGCGAAGGCGGCAACCUGGACUGAAACUGACACUGAGGCACGAAAGCGUGGGGAGC